rnacentral:rRNA from 1 species
UAAGGAAUUUUCCGCAAUGGACGAAAGUCUGACGGAGCAACGCCGCGUGAGUGACGACGUCCCUCGGGAUGUAAAACUCUUUUCCACGUGAAGAGCAAGGACGGUAGCGUGGGAAUAAGCAUCGGCUAACUACGUGCCAGCAGCCGCGGUAAUACGUAGGAUGCGAGCGUUGUCCGGAGUUAUUGGGCGUAAAGCGCACGUAGGCGGUUGUGUAAGUGUGGUGUGAAAUCUGCGGGCUUAACCCGCAGUGGUCGCUGCAGACUGCACGACUGGAGGGCUGGAGAGGAAGAUAGAAUUCCCGGUGUAGUGGUGAAAUGCGUAGAUAUCGGGAGGAAUACCAGUGGCGAAGGCGGUCUUCUGGCCAGUUUCUGACGCUGAGGUGCGAAAGCUAGGGGAGCGAACGG